AAAAAUUAGUGCCGUUUCAGUGCUGCUGAUAAACUUCAGAAUUCAGAUACAUUAUGGUGCAUGAUGCCCGUGCUCUUUUACAAUUUCAAUAGGUCAUCAGAGGGGCAGUCCUAUGUUUUCACAGUGAUGAUUAUGUGAAAUGCUCACAUGAUACAACUCUUAACCCGGGGAGAUUUUCACUAACAAAUGAACCAACUAAAGAUGUUCUACAGUGUUUCAAUCUGAGGAGCUCAAACCCAAGCAAAAACGCUCCUAAAAAACAAAGCAAAACGAAGCAAGUACAACCAAGCUUGCUCCUACUGUCUCGCAACUUAGUAAAAAACAAGGGACUACUAGUCGCCGGAUGAUACAUUUCAGUCACAUACCGAAACAGGAUCAGAUUACUGUCAUGAAAGAAGGCAAAUGCACGACAGAACACAGGUAGCCCAAAAUUCUCAACUAAGCACCAACUUCAACACAGUUCACGAGGGUGUAUAUGGUAAACAUAGACAGGUAACCAGCACUCUUCCAUAGACAUCCAAUCCAAAGCCUAAGCAGUUCAAACUCCAGGUAAGUGGAACCUCACUUGAAGCAUUUCGCAUCAAGCAGGGCCUCACCCUCGAACGGCUCCUGGUCCUCGAUCAUGGCAUUGACACGCUCCCUCUGGGCCUCAUCAGAGAUGUCCACCUUGGUCCACUCGUACAGCUCCAUGUCAUAGACCUCAUCCAUGACAAACUUGGGGACCUCCUGGCCACGGAAGAGCCAGAGCCCCUUCAACUUGAAUGGGGGCUCAGAGCCAACCACAAGCAUCUU